rnacentral:lncRNA from 1 species
UAAAAACAUAACAUUUGAAAAUUAAAAGCAUAACACUUGGAAAUAAAAACAUAACACUUGAAAAUUAAAACAAAGCACUUGAAAGUUAAGAGCACAACACUUGGAAAUAAAAACAUAACACUUGAAAAUUAAAACAAAGCACUUGAAAGUUAAGAGCACAACACUUGACAAUUAAAAACAUAACACUUGAAAUUCAAAAGCAUAACACUUGAAAGUUAAGAGCACAACACUUGAAAAUUAUUUCAGCCAGCUG